ensembl:snRNA U1 U1 spliceosomal RNA
AUUAUUAUCUGGCAGGAGAGAUACCAUGAUCACCAGGUGGUUUCCCCAAUGCAAGUCUUAUCCACUGCAAUCAGGAGGUACUAACCUCUGUGAUUUCCCCAAAUGUGGGAAACUCGACUGCAUAAUUUGUGGUAGUAGGGGACUGUGUUCACACUUUCCCCUA